rnacentral:sRNA from 1 species
CCCCGGCCGGGCGUCCGGGGCUCCUGCGCACUCACUUGGCGGCCGCGCCCGCUUGCGUCCUCUUGUUCUCUUCCAGGCACCCAAAAAGAAAGGGAAGAAAGGCAAAGCCAAAGGCACCCCGAUUGUCGAUGGGCUCGCUCCAGAGGACAUGAGCAAGGAGCAGCUGUUUAUUUUUAGGUGAAGUUGAGUCCUCCCUCUUUCUUCCUUGCCUUUCUCCGGCCACACGCCCCGUUGCCGUGCAUGGGCCCCUGCUCAGUGCCUCACCUGACCCACUGCACCUGGCCAGGUGGAGGAGCAUGUCAGCCGCAUCCGGGAGGAGCUGGACCGUGAGCGGGAGGAACGAAACUACUUCCAGCUGGAGCGGGACAAGAUCCACACCUUCUGGGAGAUCACACGGAGGCAGCUGGAGGAGAAGAAGGCUGAGCUGCGGAACAAAGACCGGGAGAUGGAAGAAGCCGAGGAGAGGCACCAGGUGGAGAUCAAGGUGUACAAGCAGAAAGUGAAGCACCUGCUAUAUGAGCACCAGAACAACCUGACAGAGAUGAAGGCCGAGGGCACCGUAGUCAUGAAGCUGGCACAGAAAGAGCACCGCACACAGGAGGGUGUGCUGCGCAAGGACAUGCGGGCACUGAAGGUGGAGCUCAAGGAGCAGGAGCUGG